UACGGAAGGAGCAGUGGGGAAUAUUGCACAAUGGGCGCAAGCCUGAUGCAGCCAUGCCGCGUGUAUGAAGAAGGCCUUCGGGUUGUAAAGUACUUUCAGUCGUGAGGAAGGUGUUAAGGUUAAUAACCUUAGCAAUUGACGUUAGCGACAGAAGAAGCACCGGCUAACUCCGUGCCAGCAGCCGCGGUAAUACGGAGGGUGCGAGCGUUAAUCGGAAUUACUGGGCGUAAAGGGCACGCAGGCGGUUAAUUAAGUUGGAUGUGAAAUCCCCGGGCUUAACCUGGGAAUGGCAUUCAAGACUGGUUAGCUAGAGUCUUGUAGAGGGGGUAGAAUUCCAUGUGUAGCGGUGAAAUGCGUAGAGAUGUGGAGGAAUACCGGUGGCGAAGGCGGCCCCUGGACAAAGACUGACGCUCAUGUGCGAAAGCGUGGGGAGCAAACAGGGAUUUAGAUACC
rnacentral:rRNA from 1 species